GGGCUCGGUUGAACGGACUCACCAGGAAACGUGACUUUCGUGUCCGACCUCUGCUGUAUCAGGAUUCGAUUCUCGGUGUUAAACAAGACAACGCUGAAGGCUCGGUGCAGCAGCCCUGCAAAGGUUUUUCCAGCGCUCUUGGGAGGUGGGCUGUGCCACUCCCUGUCCCACCUGGCCCACCUGGCCCACCAUUACCUGAAGGGAAGCAUGAACAGCCUUUGACGUGGGAGUGGCAACUGCUGAGAGGGAACCGUCUGUACACAAGCAAUGUAGCCUUAUGGGACCCGAGUGGAGCCCCAACCCACGCAGGGCGUGUCUUCAUGGCUUUUCCUGGCCAAUCUGAUACCAAGAUGCAGUGGCAGAAGUACCUGCACUUCCACUCCUGUCAAGUCUCUGCAUGGCUAUGGUGAGGAAGAGCUCUGCACUGGGCAAGGAAGUUGGCUGUCGAGUGAAGGAAAUGGUGAUGCUGGUGGCCCCUUUCCUGCAGUCAAGUUCCCUAUCAAGGACAUUCAGUUCUCGGAAAGUGGUGAAGGCACACGCUUCCCUGCA
rnacentral:lncRNA from 1 species